rnacentral:rRNA from 1 species
AGAGUUUGAUCCUGGCUCAGAUUGAACGCUGGCGGCAGGCCUAACACAUGCAAGUCGAGCGGGAACUUCGGUUCUAGCGGCGGACGGGUGAGUAAUGCGUAGGAAGCUACCCGAUAGAGGGGGAUACCAGUUGGAAACGACUGUUAAUACCGCAUAAUGUCUACGGACCAAAGUGUGGGACCUUCGGGCCACAUGCUAUCGGAUGCGCCUACGUGGGAUUAGCUAGUUGGUGAGGUAAUGGCUCACCAAGGCGACGAUCCCUA